UUUUACUAGAUGUUGAGGCCUGUUUUAUACAAUUUCCUUAAAACAGAUUCGGCCGCUCCUACGGUAUUUGAAGAAACGUUGGUCGACUGUCUCUCAGGAUACAAUAACAUGAUGAUCGAAACAGUAGCACAUCUACAGUGAUCAAAGAACAAACGUUGCCUUUUUCUAUCACCGAAACGUUGGAAAAUAUGAAGAGAAAAAAGAAGAAUUUUGGAGAGUAAAAUAAACUCGGUGUGAGAGAGUG
rnacentral:lncRNA from 1 species